rnacentral:tRNA from 1 species
GCCAUUAGCUCAGUUGGUAGAGCAUCUGACUUUUAAUCAGAGGGUCAGAGGUUCGAAUCCUCUAUGGCUCA